rnacentral:tRNA from 1 species
GAGAGAGGCCUGUUGCAACAAAAACUGCUAAUUUUUGUCUCUUUGGUUAGACUCCAAAGCUCACUCG